GGGGAUUUGGGCCUUUUUCCUUGGCCUUGAGUUUUUACAAUUUCCUUUGUGUUUUAAGCUGAAUUCUCCCUGUUUGUGAGGGGAAUUUCAGUCCUCAAAGAGGUGAAUUCUCCCCGUUUGUGAGGGGAAUGUGCCUGAAUUUCAACCCUCAAAAAGCUGAAUUCUCCCCGUUUGUGAGGGGAAUGUGCCUGAAUUUCAGCCCUCAACAAGCCCUUCUGAGGGCAUUCAGCCACAGGCCAGGAAAAUGAUUUCCAUUUUAAAACAAAGCAGAAAAGAAGCGGCGCUCAGAGGAUGAAAAUUCCUGGAGCUGCACUCUCCCAGCUCUGCUAUCUCCUCAUUUUCCCAGGAAAAUUAUUCCAAUCUUUCCCCCUCAUCCCCUCCACCCUUGGAAGCUGAGAAACG